GAGAAAUGAUUUAUUUUAAAUUGGAGGAGCUAAAAGUGCUAGAGGUAGGCCUUAAUAACCAUAGAAGAAGUCGUGAGGAAAGACAUGAAUAGCUUAGGACUGGAAUUUUGUAUGGCUUUGAAUAGAGCUGAUUGGAGAAAUAGGAUCCAUGUAGCCGACCCCAUUUAAUUGGGAUAAGGCUGAGUUGAGUUGAGUUGAGGACAACCUCAUCA